GCGGACGUAGCUCAGUCGGUAGAGCAUCAGCUUCCCAAGCUGAGGGUCGCGGGUUCGAUCCCCGUCGUCCGCU
rnacentral:tRNA from 3 species